rnacentral:lncRNA from 1 species
UCCCCACUUUUGUUCCUAGAGCAACAUGCUGUCCUGGCUAGCUAAAGUGUUUAUGAAUGCAAGAAAAUUUUUGAAAAGGGAAUUUGAAAUUUAACUCCACAAACUACUAUCUGGACUGGAAUGCUACAUUAAAUGUAUUAUAAUUUUGUAUUGAGUUAUAGGGAUGGGAAAUGAAAAGGAUCCAAGGCCAUAUGUUGAUAUUCUUUUGAUACGUUAAGAAAUAAUCUAGUGUUAUUUUCUAUUUCUUCUUAAAUGUUUUUAGAGGUUACUUGGUAC